rnacentral:rRNA from 1 species
AACGAACGCUGGCGGCGCGCCUAAUACAUGCAAGUCGAGCGAGAAGGUGUAGCAAUACACUUGUAAAGCGGCGAACGGGUGAGGAAUACAUGGGUAAUCUACCAUCGAGUGGGGAAUAACCAACCGAAAGGUUGGCUAAUACCGCGUACGCCUCCGAGUCUUCGGGUUCGGAGGGAAAGCUGCACUGUGAGUGUAGCGCUCUUUGAUGAGCUCAUGUCCUAUCAGCUUGUUGGUAGGGUAACGGCCUACCAAGGCUUUGACGGGUAGCUGGUCUGAGAGGACGAUCAGCCACACUGGCACUGCGACACGGGCCAGACUCCUACGGGAGGCAGCAGUAAGGAAUAUUGCGCAAUGGGCGAAAGCCUGACGCAGCGACGCCGCGUGGGGGAUGAAGGUCUUCGGAUUGUAAACCCCUUUCGGGAGGGAAGAUGGAACGAGCAAUCGUUCGGACGGUACCUCCAGAAGCAGCCACGGCCAACUUCGUGCCAGCAGCCG